GAUGAACGCUGGCGGCGUGCCUAAUACAUGCAAGUCGAACGAACUUCCGUUAAUUGAUUAUGACGUGCUUGCACUGAAUGAGAUUUUAACACGAAGUGAGUGGCGGACGGGUGAGUAACACGUGGGCAACCUGCCCAGAAGCAGGGGAUAACACCUGGAAACAGAUGCUAAUACCGUAUAACAGAGAAAACCGCCUGGUUUUUUUUUAAAAGAUGGCUCUGCUAUCACUUCUGGAUGGACCCGCGGCGCAUUAGCUAGUUGGUGAGGUAACGGCUCACCAAGGCGAUGAUGCGUAGCCGACCUGAGAGGGUAAUCGGCCACAUUGGGACUGAGACACGGCCCAGACUCCUACGGGAGGCAGCAGUAGGGAAUCUUCCACAAUGGACGCAAGUCUGAUGGAGCAACGCCGCGUGAGUGAAGAAGGGUUUCGGCUCGUAAAGCUCUGUUGUUAAAGAAGAACGUGGGUGAGAGUAACUGUUCACCCAGUGACGGUAUUUAACCAGAAAGCCACGGCUAACUACGUGCCAGCAGCCGCGGUAAUACGUAGGUGGCAAGCGUUAUCCGGAUUUAUUGGGCGUAAAGCGAGCGCAGGCGGUCUUUUAAGUCUAAUGUGAAAGCCUUCGGCUCAACUGAAGAAGUGCAUUGGAAACUGGGAGACUUGAGUGCAGAAGAGGACAGUGGAACUCCAUGUGUAGCGGUGAAAUGCGUAGAUAUAUGGAAGAACACCAGUGGCGAAGGCGGCUGUCUGGUCUGUAACUGACGCUGAGGCUCGAAAGCAUGGGUAGCGAACAGGAUUAGAUACCCUGGUAGUCCAUGCCGUAAACGAUGAUUACUAAGUGUUGGAGGGUUUCCGCCCUUCAGUGCUGCAGCUAACGCAUUAAGUAAUCCGCCUGGGGAGUACGACCGCAAGGUUGAAACUCAAAAGAAUUGACGGGGGCCCGCACAAGCGGUGGAGCAUGUGGUUUAAUUCGAAGCUACGCGAAGAACCUUACCAGGUCUUGACAUCUUCUGCCAACCUAAGAGAUUAGGUGUUCCCUUCGGGGACAGAAUGACAGGUGGUGCAUGGUUGUCGUCAGCUCGUGUCGUGAGAUGUUGGGUUAAGUCCCGCAACGAGCGCAACCCUUAUUACUAGUUGCCAGCAUUCAGUUGGGCACUCUAGUGAGACUGCCGGUGACAAACCGGAGGAAGGUGGGGACGACGUCAAAUCAUCAUGCCCCUUAUGACCUGGGCUACACACGUGCUACAAUGGAUGGUACAACGAGUCGCGAAACCGCGAGGUUUAGCUAAUCUCUUAAAACCAUUCUCAGUUCGGACUGUAGGCUGCAACUCGCCUACACGAAGUCGGAAUCGCUAGUAAUCGCGGAUCAGCAUGCCGCGGUGAAUACGUUCCCGGGCCU
rnacentral:rRNA from 1 species